rnacentral:rRNA from 1 species
UACGGAGGGUGCAAGCGUUAUUCGGAAUUACUGGGCGUAAAGCGCGUGUCGGCGGGAAGGUUAGUCUGAUGUGAAAGCCCUGGGCUCAACCUGGGAAGUGCAUUGGAUACUGCUUUUCUUGAGUUCUGGAGAGGAUGGGGGAAUUCCCGGUGUAGAGGUGAAAUUCGUAGAGAUCGGGAGGAAUAUCAGUGGCGAAGGCGCCCAUCUGGACGGCAACUGACGCUGAGACGCGAAAGCGUGGGUAGCAAACAGG